GUAGGCAGGCGGACUCUCAACCACUGCGCCACCAGGAAAGCCCAAACCACUCAUUUUUAAAAGGAAAAGACUAUCUGUCCCUCCCCCCUCCCCACACCCAAUAGCAGAUCUGCACUGCCAGGGCAACGUGCUGUCCGUAACACAGCGUGCAUAGUCACAAAACGUAGUAAGUGCUGUGAAGGAAGAGUGGAGGGUCCUCUGAGAGAACACAACCAAAGAACUCAGUCUAAAUCAAGAGGAUCCAGCAAAGUCAAAUUGUUGCCGCUGUCUAACGGAUGAAGAGAAAUUUGACAGGUGCAGAUGGGAGCAGAUGUAUUCCAGGCAGUACGCGUGCAGACCUGAGGCAGGAGCGUCAGUGAACAGAGGCUCAGGGAGGGAAACACCUCAGCUCCUCUGGUGGGCCUUGCAACAGGUGGGUGACUUCAACCACCAGCACUCCAGGAACUCAGAAUUACUCUUUUUUUCUGCUUUGCAUCUGCGGUGUUUGAAGGAUUCUCAAGAUGAGGGCACACCUGCUUCUACGUGUCUGUUCCCAGAAGAACUCAGGAGCAGCGUCUAUCAGUACAGAAGAGCUACAAGGGGUUCCGGUUCAAGAUGGUGACACAGGAGGACCCUGAGCGCACCCACAUCCCGCGGACACCCUGAAUCUACAGCUACACACAGAACAAUUUCCUCUGAAAGAAAUCCAAGAACUAGCAAAGCGACUCUUAGAAUCUGGUGAACAAAAACCCGCAUCGAAAGGGGUAGGAGAGGCCGAGACGCGCUCUCACCUUAAACCCCACUCCUGGCACAGCGACCCACAGUCAGGGGUGGGCUGGGGGGCUGACGGCUCCCAGCUUCUCCCUGAGGAGUGAGGCUUUGACCUCCACAUCGGGCAUCCCAACUUUUAAGGCCUACCCCUGAGAGAUGAACCCCCAAAAACCAUCUAACUUGGAAAGCCAGUGUGGCUGCAUCCGCAAGACCCACGAGGCUAGAGCAUCUGAGAAGCCAACCUUCAAGGGCUCUCCAGGACUCAGCAGGCUAACGCCCCAGGGCCCAGCGCCGAGGCCGGGACUGAACUGUGCCCAGUCUUCCUGUGUAAGAGGCCUGUUGCCUGUCUUGAGAGCUUCAGCCUGAGGGGCGGACAUUUAACACAUUUCUGGAGGCCACUGAAAUACGCCCCAAGGACGGCCAAAGCGGGAGGCACCAUCUUUGUGCGCGCCCUCUCCUUUCCUGGGGUUGCGGGGAUCUCCCAGAAAGGGGGGUGUGCACGUCUGGGGCUCCGGAUUUGGCGCUGCCUGCCGGGGGGUGCCCCCUGACCAUCUGGCUCUGGUGGCCAACCAGGCUUACAUUCCCGGGUCCCACAGAACUGUAACAA